UACGUAGGGUCCGAGCGUUAUCCGGUAUUAUUGGGCGUAAAGAGCUUGUAGGCGGUUUGUCGCGUCUGCUGUGAAAUUUCGGGGCUCAACCCCGAACUUGCAGUGGGUACGGGCAGACUAGAGUGUGGUAGGGGAGACUGGAAUUCCUGGUGUAGCGGUGAAAUGCGCAGAUAUCAGGAGGAACACCGAUGGCGAAGGCAGGUCUCUGGGCCAUAACUGACGCUGAGAAGCGAAAGCAUGGGGAGCGAACAGG
rnacentral:rRNA from 1 species